rnacentral:lncRNA from 1 species
UGCUGCCUUACUGGGAAUUUGUUCCACGUUGCAAAAUUGUGUUCUGGUGGCUUCUGUUCUCCUCUGGGUGCUGUGAUGUGAGCUGGGCCUUCAGCACUUCCAGUGUAUGAUGAGGAACGAGCAGUUUCUAUCCUGAUAAUGUGAUCUCUCUCUCUCCAUCAGCUGUUGUCAUGGACCAUUUUUCCAAACAUCUCAGCAUCAUCUGGACAGCACAGAAGAUAUCUCACCUCCUUUGCCGCUCAGUAGACCAGGGAGCCACUGGGCCUAUUUGGCUGAGCCCUGCUCUUGGAGAAAGAGGCAACUUCCAUUUUGCUGCUUUUGGGUCUGAUUUUUGAGUCCCAACUGGAAAAUCACAACUGUGGAAUCAUUCAGGUUGGAAAAGUCCUCUAAGAUUCCCCAAGUCCAACCCCAGCCCACCCUCACCAUGCCCACAGACCACAUCCCUCAGUGCCUCUCCAUGGUUCUGGAACAUCUCAAGCGACAACGACCCCACCACCUCCCUGGGCAGCCUGUUCCAAUGCAUCACCACUCUUUCUGAGAAGAAGUGCUUCCUAAUAUCCAGCCUGAACCCCUUCCCUGGCACAACUUAAGGCUGCCAGCUCUUGUCCUGUCACUGUUACCUUGGAGAAGAGUCUGACCCCUGCCUCACUACAACCUCCUCAAUAAGAAGUGCAGUCAAUUAAAGUGGUUCCGUGUCUUCCGUAUCACCAGGCUUGGCAAGAUACUGAAGCUUUACUGGAAACUCCACUGAAGCCAACUUUAAGUUCUCCAUCUCCUGAAUGUACGACUGCAAAUACUGCAGCUGCUGAAGCAGGCAGAACAGAGCUACAGCUCCCUGUCUGUCUCCUGGCUCUGCAUCUCUGCAUGGUAAAAAUAGCCAUAUUUUACAUCCAUGGGAAGCAUUAAGGAUAUUAUCUCUUUGGAGUUCCUUUCAGCCAAGAGUAAGGAGAUAUGAAGAAUUUGGCUGCUGUCCUCUGCUCCUGCACCACCCAGCUACCCAUCAUGGCUAAUAAUGCAACUCAGUGGCUGCUGUAUUUUUCAUGGCCCUUCUGACAGUAUGAGAUUAGUGGGAGCACAGCUGCUUCAGUACCAGGGCAUGUAUCUGUCUUUCCCUGGCAGAUCCCUUGGUGGUGUGUGGCUGUCAUGUUAAAGAGGGAAGGUAAAACUUAUUUACAGGCAGUCUGAGCGGCAUGUUAUUCAAGGCCAGGUUGCUGGCCCAUCUGAUAUUAUUUAAGGGGUUAGAUAUUGCCAGUAAAUGAAAAUAAAUGCUAUUAGUGUCCCUUCUAGUCAGUGGAAUUAGCUGCUCUUCAGCUGAUGUUUGGUUUUACAGCACAAGAUACGCUGGCUCUCAAGGGUCAUGGCUUUUAAAUGCUGGGAAGGCACUAAUCUUGGGAUCAUGGUGAUGCAAACAGAAAUAGGAGGCUAGCAAAACCAGCAGAGGGCUUCCCUUCUGUUGCUUACCCUCAGUCUCUCUGUUAAAUGGACCUGCAGAAAUCAGGGGCAAAGAGACAGAGUGCAGCACUGUUAACUCUAAGGGUUCCUCUUUUACCACAGUAGAGCCUUGGAAGGGCCCUUCUUUCCUCCUCAUCUCAGCCAGUCUCAGAAGGAUUGUCUUUGCUAAAAAGAAAUUACAUUCUGUUGCCUGUCUGUCUUGAGCCAUUUGCUUUUGGCAUUAACUGUCAAGCCCUGAAUCACUCUCUGGGGAUGCGUGCUGGAAAGCUGGUGGGAACUGAUUGCAUAUCAGCAGCUGAGAUGCAAUACUUGGCUUUGCUCUUCUUGGGAAUCACAGUGUGCAGACCUGGACAGCAUCACGCACAUAGCGUAAGAGACCAAGCACUUCUCGUGGGCUGAGUGCAUCAAAUCCUGAGACAAACGCUUACUGCAAACACUGGGGCAUGAGGGAGGUGGGAGGGAGAGAGAUCAACUCCUAAAGCUUUGGCUUCUUGCUCAGAGCAGGGAAAGGAAUAUAAAAAGAAUGAAUGUAAUUUGUUUUCCUUUGUUGAUCAGAGCUGAAAUUAGCUAUGGGGUAUUGAACAUUGAAGUGGAAGAGGGAGGUGGAAAACUAGAAGAGCAACUGCUUGAAAAUUGCACCAAAGGCCUCUUCCCAAAGAGAAAUAUGCAGGACUUCUUUGGUUUAAGGUCACUCAUCAGCAAGACCCCCAGCUGGGAUGAAGAAACGAGAGGCCAAGGCUUCUGGCAUCCUGCUGCAAUGUGACGUAAAGAGGAGAUGCCACAAGCAGGAAAUCCUCGUCUCAGAGGAAGGAGCUGGUUUUACUGAGGCAGGUGCCCCUAGGAGCUUGAAGGGCUACUGGAAGCAAGUGAAGGCUGCCCUGCCUCAAGGAGAUGAAGGCUCAUGGUGAAGUGUGAUGUUCUAUGGUCUGGAAGCAGUCGGUAAGAUCUUCACCUCCUCUAUCAGCACUUUGGAGACAUGGCUGAAGGAUUGGACAAUACCUACUAGGGAGGUAACAUCUCCAGUGGAAAAGAGGACAGGGCUUUAAAACACCUACAGCUGGCUUCCACACCCCCCUGACCUGCAUUUCAGGUCGGCACCACCAAGAUGUCUGUGUGCCUUGGCUGAUGAGGAUAACUACACGCAAGGCAAGCUAUCUGAAUCUGACAGCAAAGACCACGUUUCCCCUUAAUGCACCGUGCUGUGGGAAGUGUUUACUGCUGCUGCUCUUACAGCGCAGAAAACCAGAGCAGCUGGGAUGCAGCAAGCUCACAAUGAGGAAAAGCAGAAAGAAGAAUGACCCCGCGCCACUGUUACAAGCAGCUUCCUGAAAGCAGCUUGCGGCCAGGAAAACUGCUGGAUGAAAUCCCUCAGAGGAGGAGAAAGUCCAGGCUCCCCAGAUUUGUUGUCAUUCCUGGGGGAUGUGACCAAGGACAAGUCUUGGAUCGCCUUGCUAGCACCUCUCUCUUGCAGGAAAUGCCCAACUCCAGAUUUCUCACACAGAUAGGAAACAUUUCACCUCAGAGAGAGCAGUGCUGCAGUGGCACAGCUGCCCAGGGAGUGGUGGGGUCACCGUCCCUGGAGGUGUUCCAUACCCAUGGGGAUGUGGCACUGAGGGACGUGGGCAAUGGGCAUGGUGGGGUGGGCUGGAGUUGGGCUGGGUGAUCUUAGAGGACUUUUCCAACCUGAAUGAUUCCGUGAUACCUCCAAAAAAGCAACCUCCUGUGCUGUCCCAGAGGGCUGGGAGUGCUUGGAAGUUUUGGUGCAAAUGCUUGGUGCUCAAUAGCAGCGCACUGCAUGGUGCUGUUGGUAGCGU